GGGUAAUUAAUGUCUUUUUGGGAGUGAGGGGAUAAAUGAAAGAAAUUGUUAAGGGAUGAAGAGAAUGUUAAUUGAUACACCUGCGCGGUAGAAUCGUUGAGUGAACGUCGUGAUAAAGAAGGCUGCGAAAACGAUUUCCUUGACUCGAUUGUCGAGAAUCAAACUGGGGGCUAAGGUCAAACGUCGUGUGUGCGACCUUAGCGGCUGGACUCGUGUGCGCCACGUUCACAGCGCAGCGGUUACAUGCUACCGUCGGCAGUUACUCUCCUCUCUCUCUUUUCGUCACUUCGAGAUGAGUCCCGCGCACGCAUAUAAUGUGAGUCACACAUGACGACCGAUCCGAAUGAACCACAUCCUGUCCGUCAUGUGACAUUAAUGUCAUUGUCGUUUGCGUGUGCCGUUCGACUAAGAGAAUUGUACAAAAUAAACGGAGGAAUCGUCUUAAAUAUCUGAUUUUCCCGUCGUGGAUCCCUCUUCAAUUCAUCAAGUCGGACGCUGGCUUUAUGUACUCGGCUCGAACACUGAUUCCAAGUAGACAUCCCUAAAACUUUGAUGGAAAGCGUUUGCAAAGAUUUUGCAAACGCUGCCAACCCAGGUCUCACCGCGUGGAGGUGACUACGUUCGAGACCCGGACAGUGGACAAUCCCCACUGCCCCCUCCCAUAUUAAAUUGCCACUCUAUUAUACGGAGCGAAUAUUGGAGAAGGAUUUUAUACGAUUGCGAACAAGACUCUAACUAUUGACUCUAACUAUGGACUAACUAUUGACUCUAAUUGGAAACUAAGGUAAGCACAAAAUGUCAGACUUCACUUGGGCACCAGAGUUCGAGCCGAGCAGGACCCUGCACCCGAAUGACGAUGCCUCAGCGCAGGAAUGGCCUGACCACGACCAAUCCGUCUCACGGAGCUUACGCACUGCACCUGGGAAUGGAACAGGAACACCCCAGCGACUGACGAGACAGGCCACCCGAGAUACAGGACCACAACUCUUUUCUCCCUCUGGUACUCGAGCAAAGUCUGACUGGUAAACUACUAUUCGCGACGCGGGUAUACUAAAACGCGAGCAAAAUGAAUUGACUGAAACGAGAGAGAGAGGGAUGAAGUUAAAUUCGCUCCG